GCACAGACAGGGGCCUUAGCGGAGCUGGGCCUGAAUACUGUUUUUGUCACUAAGUAAUCAGAUGUUGGGCCCUGGCCAGUGACCUGCCCUCUGGGACAGGCCACUCAUCUGUCAACAUGGAAGCGAUAACCCCGCCAGGGCUCGGGGCGGCUGGGAGUGCUAACCCCCAGGGACUGGUGGGUGCCAGUGGUCUUGCCCUCUGCCAACACUUGCCAAGUUCAGAAUGUGCCCGGCUCCAGGAUUCUGAGGAUGAAGAGCUAGCUUAAUGGGAAGCCAGAUGUGGCAACAGGCGGUGGGAGCCAGGUAGAAAUAUUCACAGGGAAGGACCAAAAAGACCUGGGGUUUUGUCAGAACAAAAAUAUGAGAUUGUCUACAACAUAAAACCAGCUGCAAAUUCUUUGGGACUGUUGCCUGGGCCCCAUAGUGCCGGAGCUGAGACCCCAGGGCUUGAAAAAGCCCAGUCCGGUGCUGACGGGAGCGGAAGCCAAGCUGGGGCUGCACAUGGGUGCAGAACACCUGAGCAGACUCCAGAUUUCUAAUGAAGAAGACCUGUGCUUCUGUGGCAGAUACCCUGAAACAUUUUAAAGAAAACAGCCAUUCCCCAGUAAUCGUGAAGAUGCAUGCCCAGCAGCCUUUCAUUUGGCAUUUAUUCAACAUGCUUGGCUGAAUAACGGCACCCUCAGAGAGGAGUGCAUGCCUAUCCCAGGAC